rnacentral:rRNA from 1 species
GGGCCCGCACAAGCGGUGGAGCAUGUGGUUUAAUUCGAUGCAACGCGAAGAACCUUACCAGGGUUUGACAUAGUACGAAGUUUUUUGAAAAAAAAUCCACCUUCGGGAACGUACAUACAGGUGGUGCAUGGCUGUCGUCAGCUCGUGUCGUGAGAUGUUGGUUAAGUCCCGCAACGAGCGUAACCCUUGUUUUAGUUGCCUUUCGAGGAUAUUUAGAAAGACUGCCGAUUUAAAUCGAGGAAGGUAAGGACGACGUCAAGUCAUCAUGCCCCUUACACUCUGGGCUACACACGUGCUACAUUGGGUAGAACAAUAAGUUGCUAAGUUGCGAAACCAAGCG